UCCUACGGGAGGCAGCAGUGGGGGAUAUUGGACAAUGGGGGAAACCCUGAUCCAGCGACGCCGCGUGAGUGAAGAAGUAUUUCGGUAUGUAAAGCUCUGUCAGCAGGGAAGAAAGAAAUGACGGUACCUGACCAAGAAGCCCCGGCUAACUACGUGCCAGCAGCCGCGGUAAUACGUAGGGGGCAAGCGUUAUCCGGAUUUACUGGGUGUAAAGGGAGCGCAGGCGGCGUGGCAAGUCAGAUGUGAAAACCCGGGGCCCAACCCCGGGAGUGCAUUUGAAACUGCCAUGCUGGAGUGCCGGAGAG
rnacentral:rRNA from 1 species